rnacentral:rRNA from 1 species
AACGAACGCUGGCGGCAUGCCUAACACAUGCAAGUCGAACGAAACCUUCGGGUCUAGUGGCGCACGGGUGCGUAACGCGUGGGAACCUGCCCUUAGGUUCGGCAUAACUCCCCGAAAGGGGUGCUAAUACCGGAUAAUGUCUUCGGACCAAAGAUUUAUCGCCUUUGGAUGGGCCCGCGUUGGAUUGGCUAGUUGGUAGGGUAAAAGCCUACCAAGGCGACGAGCCGUAGCUGGUCUGAGAGGAUGAUCAGCCACACUGGGACUGAGACACGGCCCAGACUCCUGCGGGAGGCAGCAGUGGGGGAUAUUGGACAGUGGGCGAAAGCCUGAUCCAGCAAUGCCGCGUGAGUGAUGAAGGCGUUAGGGUUGUAAAGCUCUUUUACCCGGGAUGAUAAUGACAGUACCGGGAGAAGAAGCUCCGGCUAACUCCGUG